AAAGACUAUCUAUGUCUAGAACCCUAAAUUCCAAAUCUCUUUGCAAAUUUAUAAGUUUAAGAUAUGCAUUUAAUUCAGGUUUGAUAAGUUCACAAAAUCCCUAAAACAAAUCUCUUUGCGAAUAGGUAUUUUGCUCAUCUAGAUUAUUUUCAGGAAAUCAAUAACACUUUCGUGUCUACCAAUUAAUCUAAGAUCAGAUUCUAGGUUG
rnacentral:lncRNA from 1 species